rnacentral:rRNA from 1 species
AGAGAGAGACAUGCGCGCAUAUCAAUAAGCGGAGGAAAAGAAACUAACUAGGAUUCCCUCAGUAACGGCGAGUGAAGCGGGAAGAGCUCAAAUUUGAAAUCUUCAAGGUUCUACCCUGACGAAUUGUAGUUUAAAGAAGUGUUUUCUGUUGGAGUUUUGGUAAAAGUUCUUUGGAAUAGGACAUCAUAGAGGGUGAGAAUCCCGUAUUUGACCAUUAUUUCCAGCUUUGUGAUACACUUUCAGAGAGUCGGAUUGUUUGGGGAAUGCAGUCCAAAAUGGGUGGUAAAUUUCAUCUAAAGCUAAAUACUGGCGAGAGACCGAUAGCGAACAAGUACCGUGAGGGAAAGAUGAAAAGAACUUUGAAAAGAGAGUUAAACAGUACGUGAAAUUGUCAAAAGGGAAGCGUUUGACACCAGUGUUGUUUUCUCGAAAAUCAAUUAAAAAGAGUUAGAUUUUGUUGUGUAUUGACCUUAACAGCUUGCAUUUCAAUUUUCUUGCUUUUUUUAAUGCACUUUUCGUUCAACAAGUCAACAUCAAUUUCUUUUGUUGUAAAAGGGUCAUUGGAAGGUGGCUUUCUUUUCGGAGAAAGUGUUUAUAGCCUUUGGCCUCUGCAAUCGGAGAGAUUGAGGUCUGCAGCGUAGAUCCUUCGGGGUUAGAUACAUUUGUGCUAAGUUAUAGCCUUUCAUAGACAACUUGUUGACUAUGAUCAGUCAUGUAGCUUACUCGCUUAUGCUAUUUUACCUACGCUUAGGAUGUUGAUGUGAUACUGCGAGC